GUGCUCACUUUGGUAGCACAUAUGCUAAAACUGGAACCAUACAGAGAAGUUUAGCAUGGCCCCUGUGCAAGGACGACCCAAAAAUUCAUGAAGAAGCAUUUCUUUCU